rnacentral:rRNA from 1 species
UACAGAGGUCUCAAGCGUUGUCCGGAUUUAUUGGGCGUAAAGAGCGUGUAGGCGGCCAGGUAGGUCUGCUGUGAAAACCCGAGGCUCAACCUCGAGACGUCGGCGGAAACCAUCUGGCUAGAGUCCGGAAGAGGAGAGUGGAAUUCCUGGUGUAGCGGUGAAAUGCGCAGAUAUCAGGAAGAACACCCGUGGCGAAGGCGGCUCUCUGGGACGGUACUGACGCUGAGACGCGAAAGCGUGGGGAGCGAACAGG